ensembl:snoRNA SNORD34 Small nucleolar RNA SNORD34
GGUGUCGGUGAUGUCGCCUUUACCUACAUUGUUUGACUGGAGCUGAGAAAAACCCAAAGCUGAGACACCC